rnacentral:ncRNA from 1 species
UGGUCCCAGCCUUAAAAUCAAUUUUUACUUAACAUACACAUGCAAGUCUCCCCCUCCCUGUGAAAACGCCCUUACUUCCUAAUAGGACUCAGGAGCUGGUAUCAGGCACAAAAAUCUGCCCAAUACACCUAGCUUUGCCACACCCACAAGGGAACUCAGCAGUGAUUAAUAUUAUUUAUAAGCGUAAGCUUGACUUAGUUAGAGUAAUUCAAAGCCGGCCAAUCUGGUGCCAGCCGCCGCGGUUACACCACGUGACUUAGAUUGAUUUUUAUCGGCGUAAAGCGUGAUUAAAAUUAUAUUACAUUAAGGUCAAACUAUAAUUAAGCUGUGACACGCUUAUAACCAAGAAGCUCAAAUACGAAAGUUACCUUAUCACCCUCCACUUGAAUUCACGACAAUUAGGAUCCAAACUGGGAUUAGACACCCCACUAUGCCUAAUCGUAAACUUUAAUUUACAUAUAAUCGCCAGGGGACUACGAGCUAAGCUUAAAACCCAAAGGACUUGACGGUACCCCAUAUCCACCUAGAGGAGCCUGUUCUAUAAUCGAUAAUCCACGAUAUACCUCACCAUUUUUAGCCAAUCAGCCUGUAUACCUCCGUCGUCAGCUUACCUCGUGAGCGAAAACCUUAGUAAGCCAAAUGUUUAUUCAACAACACGUCAGGUCAAGGUGCAGUAAAUAUAAUGGAAAGAAAUGGGCUACACUUUCUAAAUUAGAAUAUACAGAAAACUCUAUGAAACACAGUUAGAAGGCGGAUUUAGAAGUAAAAAGAAACCAGCAUAUUCAUUUUAACUUGGCACUGGGGUGUGUACACACCGCCCGUCACCCUCUUCAAACUUACUUUUAAGUAUUUAACAUCUUCAUAUUUUAUAGAAGAGGCAAGUCGUAACACGGUAAGCAUACCGGAAGGUGUGCUUGGAAA